rnacentral:lncRNA from 1 species
AAACCUAAAUCAAAAAUUAGAUUUAGGGUUCCUCUGUGUGUGCGACACUGUGCGAGUUUGCGACUGCUGCCUUCUUCCUCAGCUCUGUGCGACUGCUGCCUUCUUCCUCAGCUCGACUGUGCCACCUUCUUCCUCAGCUCGUCGCUUAUCCUUCUUCCUCAGGUUAGUGCGACUUCUUCUGAGUUCUGAGUUUAGUUCCUUUUCAGUUUUCUUCCUCUGUUCCUCAGCUCAUUCGAUUUUGGUGGAAAUUUCUUGUGUUGAUUAUUAAAGUUAAAGUCAGCAUGUAACUUUCUGCUAUUGAUCCCUUUCUAUGCUAAGUUAAAGUCAGGCUGUAACAAAACUGAUUCUGUUUGAUUAAGUUGAAGUCUCGGCUGUAACUUAAGUUAAAAAACAUGUAUGCUAAGUUAAAGUCAGCACCUAAGUUAAAAGACGUAUGCUAUGGCUGUAACUUUCAGAUUUUUGCACAUUGAAUUGGAGCCUAACCACACUCUUCAUAUUAUUUAAAUCGCAGAAACUCCUCUCUAUCAAAGUCCAUUAAGUUCUGGAAUUAAGGACAUUUCAAUUAGUACUUCCUCUUUUGUGUAUGUUGAUUUUAUGGCAGGGAAGAUGAAAGAGAAGUUUAAAAAAUAUUGGGGUGAACCUGAAAAGAUGAAUAAAAUGAUAUUCAUUGCUUCUGUAUUAGACCCUCAUAAUAAAUUUGAGUAUGUUGGUUUUGCACUUGAGGAAAUGUUCAGGAAGGAACAAGGGAAGAAAUUAACUGCCGAAGUGGAUGCUUAUUUUACCAUGUUUAUCUCUUAUCUUGUCCAAGCUUGGGCCUCCUCACUUGGGCUAUAAUCCGUUUAUAAGUCUCUCCCAGCCCAUUGUCGUCAAGCGUUUCGACUGUUUUCCGCUGCCUCCUCUUUAAACCCUAGCCUUUUCUUUUCAGUCACUAAUCUCUCCCCUCUUUGGUUCCUAUUUGCUCUUGAAUUUCUUCAAUUUGAUCGAAGAUGAGGUAAGUUCUACUGCUUCUUUACGCUUUGCCUUUGUUCUUUUUAAAGUUUCCAUCUUCUCUGCUUGCAAUAUUACGGAUUUGCUUGACUUCAAUGAUCUGAUUUCCUUGAAAACGUAAAACUCCGAUAACUUUAGGGUUUUUUUGUCAUCCAUUAACAGUCUUUAGCAUAUUAAUAAGUUAGACCACUUUUGUUUCUAGUAUUGUAUGGUUUCCUAGGUAACACAAUUCUUCUGACAUGGAAAUUGAAGAAUUUUAUCUAUUUUUUAUGGAUUAAUUUUGAACAAUUUUGAGUGUUUAGUUUUGCUUCAAUGACAAAUUACUUUACUACUAUUAAACUGCAGUGGGUUUUAAUAGAGUACAUAGAUAUAGAAGAUUCAUAUCCCCGACCUUAGCUAGUUUGGUACUAAGGCAUUGUUCUUGUUUUUGUUGUGUUCUUUGUUUGGAGGGUUCCUUUUUCUUUUUGGGUCCUUUUUCUUUUGUUUUGAUGACUGCUUUAUCCUCGCCAGCUUGCACGCACCUUGAUUACAUUUGGUACCUCCACCGGCGGGUAACUCUGCCCACUGAAGCUUUUAGACCAAGGAGAAGAAAUCACAUAGUAUUUUUUGCCUCUUCUAGGGGUUGAACCUGAGAUCUAAUUGUUGUCCUCCCACUUUAUUUUCCUCUAGGCCACACCUUUGGGUACAGUAAAAGAAGACUUUCCUUUUCUUCUUAAAAAAAAACUUCCUUUUACUGUGUUUAUUGGGUUUUAUGUUGCAUGAACUCUUGCCUUUGUAAAUAGGGAUGGUUGCUUCUCUAGCUCUUUAUUAUUACUGCUCUUAAUAGUUAAUUCCUUUGUUCACUCUGCAAUUUAUCAAGCUUAAACAUAUGUUAUCUCAUGCAAAUCAGUAGUAGAAUCCUUUUUUUGGUUAGAAUAAAAGGCUAAGCAGGCUGUUGGAUUUAUAUAAUAGUAGAAAUUAGAAAAGAAAAUAAAAACCUUCUCAUGUUUUGUUGAUGAAUUCUGAUGUUUCUAAAAAACGUUCUCAUUUUUUGUUGAUGAAUUCUGACGUUUCUAUAUUCUUGCUGGUUCUUGACUUCUUGUGUUAAUCAAACAUUAACAAAGUGAAGGUUCCUAAUUCAUUUUCCUUGUCUUUUCCUUUUUUC